rnacentral:rRNA from 1 species
UUGACAUCCAGAGAAUUUAGCAGAGAUGCUUUAGUGCCUUCGGGAACUCUGAGGACAGGUGCUGCAUGGCUGUCGUCAGCUCGUGUUGUGAAAUGUUGGGUUAAGUCCGCAACGAGCGCAACCCUUAUCCUUUGUUGCCAGCACGUAAUGGUGGGAACUCAAAGGAGACUGCCGGUGAUAAACCGGAGGAAGGUGGGGAUGACGUCAAGUCAUCAUGGCCCUUACGAGUAGGGCUACACACGUGCUACAAUGGCGUAUACAAAGAGAAGCGACCUCGCGAGAGCAAGCGGACCUCAUAAAGUGCGUCGUAGUCCGGAUUGGAGUCUGCAACUCGACUCCAUGAAGUCGGAAUCGCUAGUAAUCGUAAAUCAGAAUGUUACGGUGAAUACGUUCCCGGGCCUUGUACACACCGCCCGUCACACCAUGGGAGUGGGUUGCAAAAGAAGUAGAUAGCUUAACCUUCGGGAGGGCGUUUACCACUUUGUGAUUCAUGACUGGGGUGAAGUCGUAACAAGGUAAGCGUAGUGCU